rnacentral:lncRNA from 1 species
CCCAUGUCCUCUUCUGAUCCCUCUUCAGCCUUGGCCAGACCCUACCAGGGACAUGGUUAGCCUGUACAGCCUUCCUUAGCCAUUCCUCCCCCAGCACAGCAAGGCCAUGGUAAACAACGGUGUUCUCUGAAAUCCCAGCCAAGCAUUUGUCAAAGCUCCUUGUCAAGCAUGAUCAAGUGAAGAUCAAACGGGGAGAAAGCAGAGCCAAUUGUCUCUUGUCAUUAGGAUGAAUGGCCAACCCAGAAGACAAGACAACACACCUGAUGAUAGCAUAUUGAUUACAGAGACCUGAAUGAGGCUGGAGGGCAUAAAAGAGAGCCUCUUCACACUUCAUCACUUACAAGCUCCUGGGAAAUCAGUGACCGUUUGGAGAAGGAGAGAAGAUGCCUUCCCAGACGUUGGUAGUCACCUUGGCGGUACUGUUGGAAGCUUGCUGCAUUAAUGCUUAUCCUGUCUACCCUGAAAGCAAUGGUGUCCAAGGAAAUAAAAAUGCUCUCCAGGAAGAUGUCCCUGCCCGCCUGGUGGAAGACCUCAAGACAGUUCUCUGGAAGAUAGCGGCAGUGAGUGAGCUCCAGAGCCAGGGAUUUACCCAGGCAGACCAGGUCCCUCAACCCAACAAGAGAGGUGAGUGCUGGCUCCCAGUGAGUCCUGGGGUCCAGCUGCAUGAGGUCACCAUGCUACAGAGGGCUGCUCUCAUCUUACCCCAAACCAGGAACUGCUCUGCAUAGCUGACCUGCAAAGGGUACACCGUGGUCAGGGGUCAGGUGUGUGGUGAAGGGUGCCCAUCUCAGGAGCAGAGGGUGACCAUGGCCUGGUGUGGAGGGUGCCCAUUGUGUGGACUAAGCCAGAGCCACCCAGCUCCCGGGCUGUGCUCUUAGAACUGACUGCAAGGCUGAAUGGGAGUCCAGGAGAAGAGAUGGACAUCUCUCUUCAUUUAAACUUUUCUGCUGUAACUAAGCAGUGCUGCAGCCCCUCGCACAGUGUCUUUUCCUUUCCCUUCCAGCUUGCUUC